AUGCCGUCAACAGCCAACGCAAGGGUUCAAGGUUUCCUGAAUAGUGACCAGAAUCGAUGUGCAAUGAAACUGUUGUCUGCUUAUGAGGAAGGUGAUGCUGAAGAAAUCAAGUAUGCUGCUCAACCAAGUGCCAUUAAUCACCUUGACCAUGUGGUAAUUCGGCUCGCAAGGAAGCUACCAACAGGUGACCUGCAGGCCAUCAAGAAAGAUGUAGGAGGUGACGACGGGGAUUCCUUGGACGAGGACGACCUAACCUGA
rnacentral:rRNA from 1 species